rnacentral:rRNA from 1 species
AAUAUCCUUCAGGGGAUAGCGCAGGGAUGGACCUAUGGCGCAUUAGCUAGUUGGCGGGGCAACGGCCCACCAAGGCAACGAUGCGUAGCCGGCCUGAGAGGGCGGACGGCCACAUUGGGACUGAGACACGGCCCAGACUCCUACGGGAGGCAGCAGUAGGGAAUUUUCGGCAAUGGGGGAAACCCUGACCGAGCAACGCCGCGUGAGCGAAGAAGGCCUUCGGGUCGUAAAGCUCUGUUGUAAAGGAAGAACGUCGCAUGCAGGAAAUGGUGUGCGAGUGACGGUACUUUACCAGAAAGCCACGGCUAACUACGUGCCAGCAGCCGCGGUAAUACGUAGGUGGCGAGCGUUAUCCGGAAUCAUUGGGCGUAAAGAGGGAGCAGGCGGCCGCAAGGGUCUGUGGUGAAAGACCGAAGCUAAACUUCGGUAAGCCAUGGAAACCGGGCGGCUAGAGUGCGGAAGAGGAUCGUGGAAUUCCAUGUGUAGCGGUGAAAUGCGUAGAUAUAUGGAGGAACACCAGUGGCGAAGGCGACGGUCUGGGCCGCAACUGACGCUCAUUCCCGAAAGCGUGGGGAGCAAAUAGGAUUAGAUACCCUAGUAGUCCACGCCGUAAACGAUGGUCACUAAGUGUCGGGGGU